rnacentral:rRNA from 1 species
GAUGAACGCUGGCGGCGUGCCUAAUACAUGCAAGUCGAGCGAACCACUUCGGUGGAGAGCGGCGAACGGGUGAGUAACACGUAGGUCAUCUACCCAUUAGACGGGGAUAACGUUUGGAAACGAACGCUAAUACCGGAUAGGAAGAAAUUUUAAAGGUGCUUUCGGGCACCGCUAAUGGAUGAGCCUGCGGCGCAUUAGCUAGUUGGUAAGGUAAGAGCUUACCAAGGCGACGAUGCGUAGCCGACCUGAGAGGGUGAACGGCCACACUGGGACUGAGACACGGACCAGACUCCUACGGGAGGCAGGAGGAGGGAAUCUUCGGCAAUGGACGGAAGUCUGACCGAGCAACGCCGCGUGAAUGAAGAAGGCAUUCGGGUUGUAAAAUUCUGUUAUAAGGGAAGAAAGACUAUAGUAGGAAAUGGCUAUAGAGUGACGGUACCUUAUGAGAAAGCCACGGCUAACUACGUGCCAGCAGCCGCCGUAACAC